UCUCUUGAGUUGUUGCUGAGGUACAGUUUGGUGAGGAGUGAGGUCUGUCUGUGAGGUGGAUCUGAAAGGAGGCCUGAGGCCUAAUCCAGCAACAUAACAUCAACUACCAGUGAACCCCACUACCCAGGUGAAAGUCAAAGCCUUGCGGAAUGGGCUGCAUGCAGAAGCAGUUUCUAAAACAAGAUGAUGCAGCCCGAUAGAGAAGAGUCUGGAGAGUUGGGUGACAGGUCCUCUGUAUGCAGUUUUCAGCUUUCUGCAUAGUUGACACUGCCCUGUGUACGUGCGGAGGAGUGCGCCUUGUUUAAUAAGUGGAUAGAUGACAAUCUCUUCUGCAUCCUGUCCGGGAUCUGUUCCAGCUAUCUCACAUAUCCAGAGGACUCAAUUACACUCCCAGCUCUGUGCAGACUUAAGUGGGAACAUCCAUGUAAUAUGUAUUACCAAUGUUCUUGUCUAAAUUUGAGCAAAAAAAAAAAAAGAGUCAAUCUCAGUCUAAUACAUUGUAUUUAACCCUUUGGCAACAUCCGUUGUACAUGCUGUACUGCUGUACGGAAUGUGCUCAUGAGCAAAACU